ACUCUAGAGAGACUGCCAGGGAUAACCUGGAGGAAGGUGGGGACGACGUCAAAUCAUCAUGCCCCUUAUGACCAGGGCUACACACGUGCUACAAUGGCGUAAACAGAGGGAAGCAGCCUCGUGAGAGUGAGCAAAUCCCAAAAAUAACGUCUCAGUUCGGAUUGUAGUCUGCAACUCGACUACAUGAAGCUGGAAUCGCUAGUAAUCGCGAAUCAGAAUGUCGCGGUGAAUACGUUCCCGGGUCUUGUACACACCGCCCGUCACACCAUGGGAGUCAGUAACGCCCGAAGUCAGUGACCCAACCGUAAGGAGGGAGCUGCCGAAGGCGGGACCGAUAACUGGGGUGAAGUCGUAACAAGGUAGCCGUAUCGGAAGGUGCGGCUGGAUCACCUCCUUU
rnacentral:rRNA from 1 species